rnacentral:siRNA from 1 species
UUCAUGUAUCUCGUUCUCCACAAA